rnacentral:rRNA from 1 species
GACGUUACUCGCAGAAUAAGCACCGGCUAACUCUGUGCCAGCAGCCGCGGUAAUACGGAGGGUGCAAGCGUUAAUCGGAAUUACUGGGCGUAAAGCGCGCGCCGGGGGUCUGUUAAGUCAGAUGUGAAAUCCCCGAGCUUAACNUGGGAAUUGCAUUUGAUACUGGCAGGCUAGAGUAUGGUAGAGGAGGGUAGAAUUCCAGGUGUAGCGGUGAAAUGCGUAGAGAUCUGGAGGAAUACCGAUGGCGAAGGCGC